UACGAAGAGUGCAAGCGUUACUCGGAAUUACUGGGCGUAAAGCGUGCGUAGGCGGUUUGUUAAGUCUGUUGUGAAAGCCCCGGGCUCAACCUGGGAAUGGCAAUGGAAACUGGCGAGCUAGAGUACGGUAGAGGAGAGUGGAAUUCCCGGUGUAGCAGUGAAGUGCGUAGAGAUCGGGAGGAACAUCAGUUGCGAAGGCGGCUCUCUGGGACGGUACUGACGCUGAGACGCGAAAGCGUGGGGAGCGAACAGG
rnacentral:rRNA from 1 species